rnacentral:lncRNA from 1 species
GUGAUAGCUCCGCCAGACACUCCAAAAAUCGUAACAAUUUGCAUUGAUUCAUUUUUUCAGCAGCACAACUUGUAACAGUUUCACCAGCUGACUGUGGAAAGGGCAGCUAUGCGUUCAUUUCUGUCCAGAUCCCUGUAAUUAUUUCAUCCUGGAAUUCACAGCCAGAAAGGAGUUUGCCUGCAGACUGCAAGCUUCUUGCAGGCCGAACUUAGACUUCAUUCUUCAUAACCUUGGCACCAAGCACAGUGCACAGUAUGUGGUGAGUAUGCAAAAAACAAACACUUCUUUAAAAGCAGAAGAUGAAAUGGAGGGAU